UACGUAGGGCGCAAGCGUUAUCCGGAAUUAUUGGGCGUAAAGAGCUCGUAGGCGGUUUGUCGCGUCUGCCGUGAAAGUCCGGGGCUCAACUCCGGAUCUGCGGUGGGUACGGGCAGACUAGAGUGAUGUAGGGGAGACUGGAAUUCCUGGUGUAGCGGUGAAAUGCGUAGAGAUCGGCAGGAACACCCAGGGGGAAACCAGUCGACUGGGCAGCACCUGACGCUGAGGUGCGAGAGCGUGGGGAGCGAACCGG
rnacentral:rRNA from 1 species